UACGUAGGGUGCAAGCGUUGUCCGGAAUUAUUGGGCGUAAAGAGCUCGUAGGCGGUCUGUCGCGUCGAAUGUGAAAACCCGGGGCUCAACCCCGGGCCUGCAUUCGAUACGGGCAGACUAGAGUUCGGUAGGGGAGUCUGGAAUUCCUGGUGUAGCGGUGAAAUGCGCAGAUAUCAGGAGGAACACCGAUGGCGAAGGCAGGUCUCUGGGCCACUACUGACGCUGAGAAGCGAAAGCAUGGGGAGCGAACAGG
rnacentral:rRNA from 1 species